GUGAACCUACGGGGGGCAGCAGUGGGGAAUAUUGCACAAUGGGGGAAACCCUGAUGCAGCAACGCCGCGUGAGUGAAGAAGUAUUUCGGUAUGUAAAGCUCUAUCAGCAGGGAAGAAGAUGACGGUACCUGAAAAAGAAGCUCUGGCUAAAUACGUGCCAGCAGCCGCGGUAAUACGUAUGGAGCAAGCGUUAUCCGGAUUUACUGGGUGUAAAGGGAGAGUAGGUGGCAGAGCAAGUCCGAAGUGAAAACCCAAAGCUCAACUAUGGGAAUGCUUUAGAAACUGCUCAGCUAGAGUGCAGGAGA
rnacentral:rRNA from 1 species